GAUAAACCCAGGCACCUGUACCCAGGGGGUAAAUUCUACCUCCUGGACUGACCAGGGAAGGGCUCCGGGAACAGGGUUGAAGCUGGUUCCCCUGAGCCCCACCCCAUGCUGAGUGAAAUCUCCAGGCCAGGAAAGCACCUGAGGACAGACUGAGGCUGGAAGCUGGAGUCAAGGAGCAUCCCAGGGCCUCUCCCAGGCCUCCCACCACUGCUUCCCAGCCUCCCCUCUGUCACUGGGCUGGCUACGGUCUGCUCUGCCACUCACCUGGUGGACACUCGAGCUCAGGGAGGCCAGCAGGCUGGGCGGUGGGACACUGGAGCUUCCUUCAAGGAAUGCGGUCCAGCCUGGCUCUACCACUAGCUGGGGGACCUUGCUCACACCAUCCAGUACUAACAGGCAGAGGAGGAUAGAGGUUCCUGUUUGUCUCCACCUGGAUUGAGAAAUGGAAACUGUCAUCCAGCUUUGAAUUCUCAGCCAAGGUCUCCAAUAGCUGUCAGCCUGGGCUUCUGCCCACCACAGCCCUACCGGGAGCCGGAACCCUCCGUGGCCGAACCCCCU
rnacentral:sRNA from 1 species